UACGAAGGGUGCAAGCGUUGUUCGGAUUUAUUGGGCGUAAAGCGCGCGUAGGCGGGCCAGCAAGUCAGAUGUGAAAUCUCAGGGCUCAACCCUGAAACUGCGUCUGAAACUACCGGCCUAGAAUCUUGGAGGGGGAAGGGGAAUUUCGCAUGUAGGGGUAAAAUCCGUAGAUAUGCGAAGGAACACCAGGGGCGAAGGCGCCUUCCUGGACAAGUAUUGACGCUGAGGCGCGAAAGCGUGGGGAUCAAACAGG
rnacentral:rRNA from 1 species